UCAUGUGUAGUAUCUGUAUUGUUAUAGCACAUCGAAAAGUGAUUGUGGAAGAUGUCAAGAAUGUGACCAACGAAGUGUUGUUAAUGUUAUGAGCUUGGUAGAAAGAAUGAUAACUAAGUUUGGUGCUAGUUGUGCCUAUGGUCUAGGUGUGCUGUAUCUUUUCAAUAUAAUUGUCGUUGGGGAUACCCAGUUGCUUAUUAAUGUAAAAAAUCAGGGUGGUGACGUUUUGCAGGAAACAAUUUCAGCAAAUGUAUCAGAAGACAUAGUAAUAUUAGAAUUCCAGCGCUCUGAUGGAACACUUGUGACACAGCUUGUUGACUUCAGGAAUGAUGUACAAGUACUGAAGGCACUUGUAUUGGGUGAAGAAGAACGUGGCCAAAGUCAGUAUCAGGUUAUGUGCUUUGUCAGACAUUUUCACAAGGGAGACUUUAUAUCAGCAGAUGCAAUGGCUAAGCUUCGCCAGAAGAAUCCAGGCACUGUAAGGACACCAGAAGAAGACAGGGGACGCGAGAAUUUCACAAUGGAUUUGAUUGUUGAUGUGAACAAGAGUGGUGCCAUAUCACAUCAUAUUGCAGCUAUGUGUGGAGAAGCAUCUGAUGCUACAUAUACCAGAGAACAAGAUUUGCAACUAUGGGCAGCACGUCCAGGUGCAUCACUGUCAGCACUGCUUGCCUCUGUCUCUAGGUCACCACCUGACGGGGGAUCACAGGCUGGACCUGUUCCCCGCUGCCUCGAAACUGCGGACCCUUGGCAUGCUUGCACUUGUAAUCUGGAGCUUUGUGUUGGGUGGUACCCUUGUGGUCUGAAGUAUUGCAAGGGCAAGGAUAGGGCAGCAGCCCUGCCUGGAGGUGGAUAUCGCUGUGGCAUUAAGACUUGUCGAAAGUGCAGUCUUCUCUCUUAUUAUGUGCGACACAAACAGCUCUGCCUCUGGGAUGAAUGACCCAGGCCUGUUGCUGGCUGGGCCGGCACCUAGGAGCUGGGUCCCAACAACUGAGCGUGAAACGAAUGCAGAAUGCACAUUGAGUAGUUAUUGGCGAUACACUAUUUUGAGUAAACUGCUCAACAACAAAAGUGUGAUGUUCACCUGAGCAAGCCAUGCUGUACACUGAAACCAGCACCACACAUGUGGAAUGCAGUAUUUCUCUCCAUAUGAGGAAGGUGUGCCACUCUUCGCACACAUUGUCUUCAGAAGUGUUGCUGCUUAUGUUCUGUGAGCUAUGAUCACUUGGAAUUUACCAUAUGGCAAGCUAUAGUCAUAUGUGAAUGUGGGGUUCCAAGUGGUAAUAAUUUUUUACUAUAGCAAUACCACAUCAGUCCUAUGUUUUGCACUGGUGACGUCUAACAAAAUACAAGAUGUAAAUGUGUGGUGUGUCUGCAAAGAGUCUUAUACUGUUUUGUUAAACAGAAAUAUAUAAUAGCUGUGUGCUAGCAUAUUCUUUCAAGAUAGGGGAAAUUCAGAUAUGAGGCGGCAUUGUACGGUGACCACGAAGCACUGCGGUUAACAUGCAGUGAUAGUGCUGAUUCUUGGUAAAUUGCAUAAAGCAUGCAGUGAUUAGCUAAACCAAGAAAGUUUAUAAGAAACUGCAUUAAAAUUGUUUCCUCUUGCUUCCAUUGUCUGUUAACAAACAUGUACAUAGUAUUGAAUAUAAACUGCUACUUUUAUACACUUUUUGUACAAUGAUAAAUAGAAAGAUUUUGUAAUUUAAAAUUAAUAAACUUUUGUGCCUAGAA